CCUCAGUAAAGAUCUUGCCUUUGGAAACAUCUUACCCCUUGGCAGCUCUCCAGAGUUCAGACUUGGCAGCAUCAAGGACACAACACAAGGGAUGAAAUACACAGUUCCUGCCUUCAGAAGUACUGUUUGAAGGGAGAUGGAUGGUUACAGCAGCCAUCUUACUACAGUGUUGUGUUGUGGUGAGAGUAUGAAUACAAAGCUAUCAUCACGUGGAGAAACAGCAUUUGAAUCAGACUGUGUUGGGCUCAUGGAAGGCUUCCUGAGAAAGCAGGCAUUUUGGAGAUCAAAGAUGGGUAGAAAAGAUGCCUCCACUAUAAAACUUCCUGUUGAUCAGUACAGAAAGCAAAUUGGUAAACAAGAUUAUAAAAAAACCAAACCUAUUUUACGAGCAACCAAAUUAAAAGCAGAAGCAAAGAAAACAGCAAUAGGGAUAAAGGAAGUUGGCCUCGUACUUGCAGCUAUAUUGGCCCUCCUACUGGCUUUCUAUGCUUUCUUUUAUCUCAGACUGUCCACAGAUGUUGACCCUGAUCUGGAAGGAGAUGAAGAUUAGCUGAACGGCAAUCAAUGCAUUAAAGGGAAAUAAUUUUACAAAAGCACCCCUUGGGACCAAUACUUUCUAAAGUACUGAAACUGGAACAUCUUGAAUCCUUUCUGCUGAGAGGACUGGAAAGACCCUGUUUUAGUGAGCUAUAUCAUGAGUCCAGACACCUGGUAAGUCUGUCCGUUUUUUUCCAUUAUGUUUUUCUAUUUUUCAUUCAUUUAAUAACCAUUAAGCACUUAUCAGGUACUAAUAAGUCAUCUUUCAAAUUCCCCAUCUAUACACAAUGUUAAGUAGUAUAGAAAAAGAUGGCUCUGCUUUUUUCAUAGUGAGAAAUUCAGAAUGUUUCAGAAAGGAACUGAUAUUUAAGUUCAUUAAUUUUCAUUCAAAAAAUAUUUAUUGAGCUCAUUUGCCACAUGGCAGAACUGUACUUUAUGCUUGCAACAAAUCCUUGAACAUUAUGAACAAGAAAGCAAAAAUAGUACUCUUGCUCUCAUGACAUAUGACUUUAGAGAUGGUGAUGGUUUCAUCAAACAGAAAAAGAGGGUGAAAAAGGUAUUCCAAGUGAGAAAAAAAACCAAUGAAAGAGCACAAAGACAUAUUAGUGCUUGGCCUGUGGGGUAGGAAGGUUAUGUCCGUUUGCGCUCAUUGUUAACCUUCUUUCCUUCCUCUGCCUAAAACCAUUUUCUCUUACUUAAUCUGUAAAAUGCCUACAUAUCUAUCCUUCAAGAUUUAUCUAUUUCCAGAUAAAUCCCCAGACUUUCCCCACAGAAGCCACCCAAGGCUAAGUUAGGUGAUUCUUCUCUUACAUAGAAUCUAUUCCAUGAUUAUCCAUUUAUGUGCCUCUUAACUGGACUCUGAGGUCUUUAAGGAAGGAACUCUGGGUUUUAUUGCUUUAUCUCAAAUGCCAAGCGCUGCACUAGACACAUGGUUUAUUCCACAGUAAAUAUGUUUGAAUAAGUACUACACCUCAUUCCCAUAGAACAGGAUUUCUCAGCUUUGACAUAUUGACAUUUUGAGCCAGCUAAUUCUUUGUGUGGAGAUCUUGCGAAUUGUAGGAUGUUUAGCAGGGAACCUAGAUGCUAGUAUGCAACUAGAUGCCAGUGGUACCUCCUCCUGCCCCUAGUUAUAGUUGGAGGAAGUCCAUCAAGAGGAUGUGACCACUGGUUGACCCGUGAGCUGCACAGGAGCGAUGGGCUAGCUGAGGCCCCUCAGGUGGGCCCCUGUCUUUGGAAUGUACUUCCAUCCUCAGCAGGUUUUCACAGCCAGAAGCGUUAGUUUUCAAGGCUGCAACCUCGACCGAGCAACGUGGGCAGUACACUGACUGAACCCAGGAAAGGAGAAGGACUUUAAGAUACCGAUGUUAUCCAACAAUCUAGAACUUUUUUUCAAGAAAUUUUAAACACACUGUAAGACAAAACUCCUAAACCAGGAAAGGACGGCCCUUCCACCUCCUUUUAUACUUCAUAUGGAUUGCAGACUUCGAUUUCCUCCCACCAGCAUUUGCCCUACUUUUCCUAUCUGAAGAUCACUCUCCUUGACAACCAAGGCAGAAAAAUCAUCAGACCUUAUCAGAUCUGUUCUCUGCUUGUCAUCUGUCAGCAUUGUACAAUUGGACCUGAGCCACAGGCAAACCUGGACCUUCCCUGCUCUUAUUUGGAAUAUAGUUUUCCCUGGAUCAUGCUAUGACUGGAAAUGUCUGCUCUGUCUGCUGUUGGUUGGCAUUCCAGUCCAGUGAAACUCCCCAAGAGUGUGACAGAGAAGCUUGGGUCCUGGAGAGAGUGCAUUCUUUGGAGCUAGAAAUCUUGGGAGCACCCUUCAGAGUAUCCUGUUGUAAUAAUCCACAUUGCACAUAUAUGUAAUUGAAUUCGGGUCACAAUUCAAGCCAAAUGCUCUGGAAUACCAACUCGCAAGCAUCACUCAACAGGAGAAUAUGUCUUUAUUCUGCACAGAGGAUGCAGAGAUGCUGUGCUCUAACCACGUGACAUAUAGUGCUUCUGAAUACCAAUGGUGUUCCCUAGGAAGAGAACUUCAGAUACAAGAAGCCCAACCUUUCAGGGACAGGAAUCCUUCAAAUAAAACUAGAGGCACAGAGCUACAAAUAUGUUGAUGUACGAUGAAUUCUAGUGGCGUACAGCUAAGAAAUAAGGUUUCUUUGUGGCUCAGCAACAUAAUCACAUGUGAGGCAUUGCCUCUAAAUCACAGGCAUUUGUCGUUCCUGCUAAUUGGUGAACUAACCUAUUAACAAGUCUCUUAAAUGUUGCACGAUUUAGAUAUGUGAGCGGAGAUAUCCUUUAUAUUUGGAAAUCCUGAAAUUUGUAUUACUUGCAUACAAAGAGCAGAGCAAAAUAUCUGCCUGGAGGUUGCUGUGCUGUAUUUCAUUCUGAACUAAAGGAGGGCAUUUGCUUUAGUCAUUGCCAGCUCCCACUUGUAACUUUAAAAGCCUUGAGCUGUGCACGCUAUAGGGUGUCAUACUAAAUUGUUGUCAGCAU